CACAUGCUCACACACACACACACACACACACACACACACACACAUAUUCAUAAGUUCAUCUCCUUGUUUUUCUCAAGCAAUAUCCAAUUUUACCCCAUUGCCACGCACGUGUUCAGACGACGCUCGGAUGGAUUCGAUCGGAAGUUUUUGCACAAACUUGUUGAGUCCAUGAGGCUCGAGUGCACAAAAAAGAGGACGAACAAAGUCUCUGGAAGUCACGAGCACAUUUCAAGUAAAUAUUUGUCAUCACUUCAUUUUGAUACGACCCGCAAACAUCUGCAUACGAUUCCUCACGUCUGACUGGAUCCCAGUGUGUGCAACUGAGAUCUUCUCAUUGGAGUUUGGCUAUAAAGAGACUCCCGUGAAGACUACAGUGGACUGAAGACAGCGAGUCAUGUUGAAAAACUGUUCAAUAUAUGAAACGAAGAAACGAAUAAAAGGCUAUAGACGUGACAUUAUGUCAUUAUGUCAUGUACGCAUUAUGUUAAUAAGGUAAAUGUGAAUGAAAACCUUCUCCGAGGCUCUGUUUAAUUAAUGAAAGCACUGGAUAUUCAGACGUACUGCAAAUAUCUAAUAUUAAACGAAUUCAUCAUAUUAAAGAUCUUAUUAUUUUAUAACGGUAUAAUUUUGAUAAACAUUCUUAGCUUAUGUAAUGAAAUGGGAUCGUUUCGUCUUCAAGUGGCUAAUGCAUGCACUUCGGGUUGUAUCAAUUUGCUCACAAGACUGACUUUCAGGCUACAGUACAUCACACUGCAGGUGCUAAAUUACUCUAUUAGCAUUGACUCCUUCCUGUAUUUUGCACCUUUAGAUAGAAGGAUGCCUAAUUGCAUAUUCAUUCAUGUUAAACACUCAAAACGGACAGGACGUGCUAUUUUAUUUGAAAGACGCAAUCCUCUGUAGACAUUUUUUUUAACUAUAUCAA